rnacentral:rRNA from 1 species
UACGAAGGGGGCUAGCGUUGUUCGGAAUUACUGGGCGUAAAGGGCGCGUAGGCGGUGGAUCAAGUCAGGCGUGAAAGCCCCGGGCUCAACCUGGGAACCGCGCUUGAGACUGGUGCGCUAGAGUUCGGGAGAGGAUGGUGGAAUUCCCAGUGUAGAGGUGAAAUUCGUAGAUAUUGGGAAGAACACCGAUGGCGAAGGCAGCCAUCUGGACCGACACUGACGCUGAGGCGCGAAAGCGUGGGGAGCAAACAGG